AUUGAACGCUGGCGGCAGGCCUAACACAUGCAAGUCGAACGGUAACAGAAAGUAGCUUGCUACUUUGCUGACGAGUGGCGGACGGGUGAGUAAUGUCUGGGGAUCUGCCUGAUGGAGGGGGAUAACUACUGGAAACGGUAGCUAAUACCGCAUAAUGUCGCAAGACCAAAGCGGGGGACUUUCGGGCCUCGCACCAUCAGAUGAACCCAGAUGGGAUUAGCUAGUAGGUAAGGUAAUGGCUUACCUAGGCGACGAUCCCUAGCUGGUCUGCGAGGAUGACCAGCCACACUGGAACUGAGACACGGUCCAGACUCCUACGGGAGGCAGCAGUGGGGAAUAUUGCACAAUGGGCGCAAGCCUGAUGCAGCCAUGCCGCGUGUAUGAAGAAGGCCUUCGGGUUGUAAAGUACUUUCAGUCAGGAGGAAGGGUGUGAAAUUAAUACUUUCAUGCAUUGACGUUACUGACAGAAGAAGCACCGGCUAACUCCGUGCCAGCAGCCGCAGUAA
rnacentral:rRNA from 1 species